CCUCGGUUGGGUCAGUCGGCAUUUGCAUGUUCUCCCCGUGUUCGCAUGGGUUUCCUCUGGGUGCUGGUCCUAAGACAUGUGGUUUAGGUCAGUGUUUCUCAACCAUGUUCCUGGAGAACCACCAGCUCUGCAGAUUUUCCAUGUCUCCUUAAACAAACACACAUGAUUCAGAUCACCAGCUCAUUAGCAGAGUCUGAAAGACCUGCAAUGGGUGUGACAAAGGAGACUUCCAAAACAUCCAGUGUUGGUGGGCCUCCACAAUCGUGGUUGAGAAACACUGGUAUGGGUGAAUUAUAUAAGCUAAAUUGUCCGUAUGUAUGUGUGUGAAUGAGUGUGUAUGGAUGUUUUCCAGUGAUGGGUUGAACAUGUCCUCUGAACAUGUAUACACUUAAGUUUUGUUUGGAUUUUAUCAUAGUUGUUAAAGCCUUUUGUAGCUUUGUUAUACAUCAAGAUACUACUGCGUAUUGUAAUAAAAGCCUCAGCGAUUAAUCGCAACAAGAAAAUCUGGUAUUAUGCAGACUAUGACAGACAUUUUGUUCUUCCUUGUUUUUACAAUCUGUGUACCUCAAAUCUGGACGCCACAAUAACGAAGACUUUGAACUGGCUGCUGUCCAAACGAAACAGACUGGGGACACGGCAUUACUACCUGACACAGCCAAGCUUUUGGCGUGCGUUCUGGAUGGGCAUCUUGGAGCAUCUGUGCCUGCCUGAGGCACUGGACUGUGGUAGAUGUGGGUCAGAGCUGUAAAUCCUGUGUGGUCUUGUACCAAACAGCCAUUGUAACUUCAGGAGAAGCCAGAUGCCAAGCGUUGCUGAUAGAUCGCAGAAGCUGCAUGCAAAAUAAUAAAGUCAACAAUGAAGGUCA